GUGCUUGCUACGGCAGCACAUACACAAAAAAAUCAGAUCAAUACAGAGAAGAAUAGCAUAUACCACCCUGUAAAAGGAUGACAAGCAAAUCUGUGAAGUGCUCCUGUGACUC